rnacentral:lncRNA from 1 species
ACUAGCCUAACGCAAAACGUUUUUCCGUCUCAGUAAUAUGCAUUGUUAAUUGAUCUACUGGUGGUUGGUUGAGUGUGCAAUAAAAUAUACGCGUUAGAUGUGUGUUUGGGUACCUAUUUCACUAUUUGUAUAAGGUGGUCUGCAGGAAAUGAUACAGGCUUGUAUGUUUAUACAGGUCGUGUUAGAUGUGUGUUUGAGUACUUAAUUCUGUAAAGUUGUUGGAUAUAUAUGUCUAUACAGAAGCUUCUCAUGUAUGUAUUCCGGUGUCAUAUCUAGUUUGGUAUUUACGCGGUUUACUUUAUUGUAGAAAAAAAAUACAUCAU